rnacentral:tRNA from 1 species
GCCGAAGUGGCGGAAUUGGUAGACGCGCUGUGUUCAGGGCGCAGUGUCCUUACGGGUGUGUGGGUUCGAGUCCCACCUUCGGCA